rnacentral:rRNA from 1 species
UAGGGAAUCUUCCACAAUGGGCGCAAGCCUGAUGGAGCAACACCGCGUGAGUGAAGAAAGGUUUCGGCUCGUAAAGCUCUGUUGUUAAAGAAGAACACGUAUGAGAGUAACUGUUCAUACGUUGACGGUAUUUAACCAGAAAGUCACGGCUAACUACGUGCCAG